GCUGUUGUAGUGUAGUGGUUAUCACGUAUCCUUUACACGGAUAAGGUCCUCGGUUCGAGCCCGAGCAAUAGCA
rnacentral:tRNA from 1 species